rnacentral:rRNA from 1 species
AGUGAACGCUGGCGGUAGGCCUAACACAUGCAAGUCGAACGGCAGCACAGUAAGAGCUUGCUCUUACGGGUGGCGAGUGGCGGACGGGUGAGGAAUACAUCGGAAUCUACUUUUUCGUGGGGGAUAACGUAGGGAAACUUACGCUAAUACCGCAUACGACCUACGGGUGAAAGCAGGGGAUCUUCGGACCUUGCGCGAUUGAAUGAGCCGAUGUCGGAUUAGCUAGUUGGCGGGGUAAAGGCCCACCAAGGCGACGAUCCGUAGCUGGUCUGAGAGGAUGAUCAGCGACACUGGAACUGAGACACGGUCCAGACUCCUACGGGAGGCAGCAGUGGGGAAUAUUGGACAAUGGGCGCAAGCCUGAUCCAGCCAUACCGCGUGGGUGAAGAAGGCCUUCGGGUUGUAAAGCCCUUUUGCUGGGAAAGAAAAGCAGCAGGUUAAUACCCAGCUGUUCUGACGGUACCAAAAGAAUAAGCACCGGCUAACUUCGUG